CAGAGCAGACAGUGAACAUCACUAACGCCACCUGGAGACAGCCCCGGGGCUCCCUCUGGCUCAGCCCGGGGAGGCGCAGUCAGGAAAGAGUUGAAGGCAGCGUGCUCUUCAUACGGCUGCUGGCUCCUCUGAUGAUCAGUACUAUAUUAGGCUCAGCAGAUGAACUUCUAUCGGAGAAACACCAAGUGUUGAAUGAAGCAGUCAUUGGCAAAAAGAAUCCUCCUCAAUGGUGACCUGCUCUUCAUCCUGGAAACCCAACAUUGGAGCAGAGAUGGAAUAAUGAGAGCCCUGGGCAUAAUGGACCCUGAUCUCCUUGGCUCAGAAUUUUGGCAAAGAACUUUCAAAAGGCAGACUACAUCCUCUCCACUCCUCCCUUCACAGCCAAACCACUUGAAAGAGACGCCUCUCCUUUUGGGACCAUCCCCUCCCAUCCUGCGCACCCAGCCCACUGUGAGCAGCUGCCACCGACGUGGCGUCUGCCGAGGCCACCCAAGGACUGUUGCCAAAUCCAGGAGCUACUCCUCAGUCUUCAUAUUCCUGUUUAUGGCUGAUUUGUUUGAAUAGUGGAAGACCCUCCCCAAAGAACUUCUGCUAUACGUUUGAAAGGGAGAAGACCAGAGAAGUGUCCAGGUGCCCAAGGAGAAGCUAAUCCCCGGAGCCACAAUGGGACAUCGCCUGGACUCCUCACCCAGGGCUGGGCCAGGCACACAGCUCUGUGCUUCCCCACACUCUCCUGUACUCAGCCCUCCUUCCCUUGAUUCUCUAAGAUUUGCAUCCUUAUCCAUUUUUUAUUGCUGUGAAGCCAAAAAUUCAUAGAUAAAUGUCCUUUCUCCCCUUAUUAAAAACCACUCUUCCAGCUGCACUUACUGGUUGCCAUGGUCUAUUCGAAUGUUUGUGUACUCCCCAAAUUCAUUAUGUUGAAACCUAAGCCCCAAAGAUGAUAAUAUUAGGAGGUGGGGUCUCAGGGAGGUGCUUAAGUCAGGAGCCUGUCAGCAACCAUUAUCCAAACCAGUUAGCUGGGGAUGCUGUUUUCAUGCAGGCCAAGCCCAAAUUGAAAUCCAGGUGUGAGGUCUGCCUCUUUGUAUAGCAAAUACUGGAAUCCACAGACAGAAAAAUCAUGGAAGAUGCCAGCAUGCAACUUUGAAUUGUUAUGUCAGCCGAAUGUAAACCUCAAGGCCCUGAGGUCCCAGCAUC